rnacentral:rRNA from 1 species
AUUGAACGCUGGCGGCAGGCCUAACACAUGCAAGUCGAACGAGUGGCGGACGGGUGAGUAAUGUCUGGGAAACUGCCUGAUGGAGGGGGAUAACUACUGGAAACGGUAGCUAAUACCGCAUACCAUCGGAUGUGCCCAGAUGGGAUUAGCUAGUAGGUGGGGUAAAGGCUCACCUAGGCGACGAUCCCUAGCUGGUCUGAGAGGAGGACCAGCCACACUGGGACUGAGACACGGUCCAGACUCCUACGGGAGGCAGCAGUGGGGAAUAUUGGACAAUGGGCGAAAGCCUGAUGCAGCCAUGCCGCGUGUAUGAAGAAGGCCUUCGGGUUGUAAAGUACUUUCAGCGGGGAGGCGGUAUCCGCAGAAGAAGCACCGGCUAACUCCGUGCCAGCAGCCGCGGUAAUUC